UACGAAGGGGGCUAGCGUUGCUCGGAAUCACUGGGCGUAAAGGGUGCGUAGGCGGGUUUUUAAGUCAGAGGUGAAAUCCUGGAGCUCAACUCCAGAACUGCCUUUGAUACUGAAAGUCUUGAGUAUGGGAGAGGUGAGUGGAACUGCGAGUGUAGAGGUGAAAUUCGUAGAUAUUCGCAAGAACACCAGUGGCGAAGGCGGCUCGCUGGCCCAUAACUGACGCUGAGGCACGAAAGCGUGGGGAGCAAACAGG
rnacentral:rRNA from 1 species